GACGAACGCUGGCGGCGUGCUUAACACAUGCAAGUCGAACGGAAAGGCCCUGCUUGUGUGGGGUGCUCGAGUGGCGAACGGGUGAGUAACACGUGAGUAACCUGCCCUUGACUUUGGGAUAACUUCAGGAAACUGGGGCUAAUACCGGAUAGGAGCUCCUGCUGCAUGGUGGGGGUUGGAAAGUUUCGGCGGUUGGGGAUGGACUCGCGGCUUAUCAGCUUGUUGGUGGGGUAGUGGCUUACCAAGGCUUUGACGGGUAGCCGGCCUGAGAGGGUGACCGGCCACAUUGGGACUGAGAUACGGACCAGACUCCUACGGGAGGCAGCAGUGGGGAAUAUUGCACAAUGGGCGGAAGCCUGAUGCAGCAACGCCGCGUGCGGGAUGACGGCCUUCGGGUUGUAAACCGCUUUCGCCUGUGACGAAGCGUGAGUGACGGUAAUGGGUAAAGAAGCACCGGCUAACUACGUG
rnacentral:rRNA from 1 species